GUUCUCCCAUUUUCAGAAGAGAGAGGUGGCACUGCACUAGAACCAGCUGAACACAUGAAGAGAAGACUAGUAUGUUAAAGAAAAUGAUGGAAAUUUGGAUUCCUAAAUGAUGGAAAUGUGUACUAGAUUCAGUUAUGAUGUGCAUUUGGACAGAACAUGAGGAUUGUUUGGUGUUGUAUAAGGUUGUGAUAAACAGGUUCAAGAACCUUCCACCCCUGCAAGCUAUUGUAAACUGCCCUGGGAUCUUCACUGAUGAAGAGCAGCCUUAUAAAUGCAGUAAAUAAAUGAAUGUGACUGACAUGGAUGAUUUCAUAGCACCCAAGCAGCUAGUGUCUCAAAACCUUUGUUUCUCUUUCUUUGCUUUGCUUUUUUGGCUACAUGCCACCAAACCCCAGAUACAGCAACAACAACAAUAAUAAACCUACAACAGCAAGAAAUGUUGUUAGAGUCAUGUAUUAUGUCCAGGGAUAAAUAAAAGAAAAUUGUCCAGAAAGUACAUGUAUGAAACUACAGAAACAGAAAUUUUACCAGCAAUAAGCACAAGCAUGGAAGAAGGGAGUUUCAAUGUGCAGUUAGUAAACCAUUCUAAGGAGUAGGGCAUCCAGAUUGCAUAUGUUGCCAAAUGUCCCAGUAAUGAGGUGUU